rnacentral:rRNA from 1 species
AGCUCGUGUCGUGAGAUGUGGUUAGUCCGCACGAGCGCAACCCCUACUUGUUAGUUGUCCAUCAUUCAGUUGGGCACUCUAGCGAGACUGCCGGUAAUAAACCGGAGGAAGUGGGGAUGACGUCAAAUCAUCAUGCCCCUUAUGACCCGGGCUACACACGUGCUACAAUGGUUGGUACAACGAGUUGCGAGUCGGUGACGGCGAGCUAAUCUCUUAAAGCCAAUCUCAGUUCGGAUUGUAGGCUGCAACUCGCCUACAUGAAGUCGGAAUCGCUAGUAAUCGCGGAUCAGCACGCCGCGGUGAAUACGUUCCCGGGCCUU